GGGGGGUUUGGGGAACACUGGGGGAUAGUGGGAGGGAUUUGGGGGGGUACUGGGAGGUAUUGGAGGGAUAGUGGGAGCACUGGGAGGGAUUUGAGGGGUACUGGGAGCACGGGGAGGAGGUUUGGGAGGACUUUAAGUGUUACUGGGAGCACUGGGAGGGAUUUGAGGGGUACUGGGAGCACUGGGAGGUGUUGGAGGUGCACCGGGGGUGGCUUGGGGGUUUACUGGGAGCACUGGGAGGGAUUUCGGGGGUACUGGGAGCACGGGAAGGAGGUUUGGGAGGGACACUGGGGGUUACUGGGAGCUCUGGGAGGGAUUUUGGGGGUACUGGGAGCACUGGGAAGAGGUUUGGGAGGGAUUUUUGGGCUUCUGGGAGCACUGGGAGGGAUUUCAGGGGUACUGGGAGCAACUGGGAGGGAUUUGAGGGGUACUGGGAGCACUGGGAGGAGGUUUGGGAGAGACACUGGAGGGUAUUGGGGGCACUGGGAGGAACUGGGAGGUACUGGGAGCACUGGGAGGGCGUUUUGGGGGAACACCAGGGGGUACUGGGAGGGAUCUGUGGGGCACUGGGAGGUAUUGGAGGGAUACUGGGAGCACUGGGGGGAGGUGUGGGGGGAGGGCUCGGGGGGUUACUGGGAGGCACUGGGAGGCACUGGGAGGCACUGGGAGCCCGGUGGCCUUCCCGUGUCCCCGGGAGCCUUUGCGGCAGGAAACGCCGCUCGCCCGCCACCAUUGUCAGGGCCGGCAAAAAAAACGACCCCGUUUUGGGUGAAAAAACGCCCGGAUUGGGGCCCACCGGUGCCAGGGAGCUGCUGCGGCUCUCGUGAAUCCGUCCCCGUCGGAUUUGGGGUGAAAAAGGGCAAAAACGGGCCGAUCGCUGGCGGCGAGCGGCUGGGGGAGUUAAGCGGCGCGUGGAUUGCGUUUUGGGGCGCCGCCAUGGAGGCCGGGGGUCCCCGGCGGGACGGGGCCGUCCCCAGCGAGCCCCGCGGCGCAGGUGAGGACGCGGGGCGCGGGGAGCUCCUCGGGGACGGGGGGUUUUUGGGGCAAAAAGGUGGGAAUUUGGGGAAAAAAAACACAAAAAGGGGUGGUCUUCUGCUGGGAGUGGCCCUUCGUGGUCACGGGUGGCCACCAGGAGAUGUUCUCCGUGGAGGAACGUCUCGACGUCGUCAUGGGUGACCACCAGGAGAUGUUCUCCGUGGAGGAACAUCUCGACGUGGUCAUGGGUGACCACCAGGAGACGUUCUCCANNNNNNNNNNNNNNNNNNNNNGUGCAAAAUUAACUAAUUUUGGGGAUUGUUUUUUGGGGUGAAAAAGGGAGAAAAUGGGGUGAUGGCUCUCAGGAAUGGGGGUGCAGAAUUAAUUAAUUUUGGGGAUUGCAUUUUGGGGUGAAAAAGGGGGAAAAUGGGAUGAUUGCUUUCAGGUGUAGGGGUGCAAAAUUAACUAAUUUUUAGGAUUGCUUUUUGGGGUGAGAAAGGGAGAAAAAGGGGUGAUGGCUCUCAGGAAUCAGGGUGCGGAAUUAAUUAAUUGUGGGGAUCGCAUUUUGGGGUGAAAAAGGGGGAAAACGGGGCGAUUGCUCUCAGGUGAAUUUGUGCAAAAUUAAUUAAUUUUGGGGAUUGUGUUUUGGGGUGAAAAGGGAAGAAAUUGGGCUAAAUGCUCUCAGUUGUAGGAGUGCAAAAUUAACUAAUUUUGGGGAUUGUCUUUUGGGGUGAAAAAGGGCGAAAAUGGCGUGAUGGCUCUCAGGAAUCGGGGUGCAGAAUUAAUUAAUUGUGGGGGUUACAUUUUGGGGUGAAAAGGGAGGAAAUUGGGCCAAUUGCUCUCAGGUGUAGGGGUGCAAAAUUAACUAAUUUUUGGGAUUGUUUUUUGGGGUGAAAAAGGG
ensembl:lncRNA